GAUGAACGCUGGCGGCGUGCCUAAUACAUGCAAGUAGAACGCUGAAGCUUGGUGCUUGCACCGAGCGGAAGAGUUGCGAACGGGUGAGUAACGCGUAGGUAACCUGCCUCUUAGCGGGGGAUAACUAUUGGAAACGAUAGCUAAUACCGCAUAAAAGUCGGCAUUGCAUGAUGUUGACUUGAAAGGUGCAACUGCAUCACUAAGAGAUGGACCUGCGUUGUAUUAGCUAGUUGGUGAGGUAACGGCUCACCAAGGCGACGAUACAUAGCCGACCUGAGAGGGUGAUCGGCCACACUGGGACUGAGACACGGCCCAGACUCCUACGGGAGGCAGCAGUAGGGAAUCUUCGGCAAUGGACGGAAGUCUGACCGAGCAACGCCGCGUGAGUGAAGAAGGUUUUCGGAUCGUAAAGCUCUGUUGUAAGAGAAGAACGAGUGUGAGAGUGGAAAGUUCACACUGUGACGGUAACUUACCAGAAAGGGACGGCUAACUACGUGCCAGCAGCCGCGGUAAUACGUAGGUCCCGAGCGUUAUCCGGAUUUAUUGGGCGUAAAGCGAGCGCAGGCGGUUAGAUAAGUCUGAAGCUAAAGGCUGUGGCUUAACCAUAGUACGCUUUGGAAACUGUUUAACUUGAGUGCAGAAGGGGAGAGUGGAAUUCCAUGUGUAGCGGUGAAAUGCGUAGAUAUAUGGAGGAACACCGGUGGCGAAAGCGGCUCUCUGGUCUGUAACUGACGCUGAGGCUCGAAAGCGUGGGGAGCAAACAGG
rnacentral:rRNA from 1 species